UCUGUCCCGGGCUUGGUGGCGUUUUCAAGCAGGCCGCCGCUAAGUCCUCCUCUUCCGCCGCCGGGCUGAAGGUCCCUGUCUCGCCUGGCGGCCGCCUGAAUUUCGCGACAACACCGAACCUUCUUCUAGCGCCCCGAGAAGCAGGGCGAAGAGAAGGCCGCGCUACCCGCGGGGAGAUUUUCCCUCAGGAGGGCCGUCGAGCGGGCCCGAGGAAGGCCGAAGCGGGAGAAAUCGGGGUGGUGGUGGUGGUGAUCCAGGCAGCGUUAUCGGCUGGCGACUGUUGCCUGGUCGCGGGCCGGGAGGUUUCGAUCUGCCUCGGGGCGGCUGGCGCGGGAGGAGCCCGAAGGCGCCUGGAGAGCGCAAGGCAGGCCUGGAAGAGGAGGAGGCGGAGGCUGAAUGCGGCUCCGAGUCGGGCAUCUCGACCCUCGCCCUGAACUCUGAACCUUGGGAGUUGUGGGAUGCAGCCUGUGGGCGGAGGGCAGCGGGGCUUAUAACGCCUUCAAAGUUGACGCAGAGAAACCUCCAGGUACUGCCUAUACAGCUAACAUCAAAAAUAUCAUCAAAAAAGGACAAUAAAGAAUGUUCUUUCUGCGCCAACUCAGUAAGCUCAAACUGCCCAAGGAGCUGCUGAUUCAGUUCUACAGAGGAAUUAUUGAGUCUGUCAUUGGCACCUCUAUAACUGUCUGGUUCGGCUCUUCAACCCAACAAGAAAGACACAAGACUUCAGAGGAUAAUUAGAACUGCAGAAAAAAUAAUUGCUACCAACCUGCCUUCCAUUGAGGACCUGUAUACUGCACGAAUCAAGAAGAGGGCCAUGAAAAUAUUUGCAGAUCCCUCACAUCCUGGACAUAAACUGUUUCAACUCCUACCCUCAAAACGACACUAUAGAGCACUGCACACCAGAACAACUAGACACAAGAACAGUUUUUCCCCGAAGGCCAUCACUCUGCUAAACAAAUAAUUCCCUCAACACUGUCAAACUAUUUACUAAAUCUGCACUACUAUUAAUCUUCUCAUCGUUCCCAUCACCCAGCUCCUUCCACUUAUGACUGUAUGACUGUAACUUUGUUGCUGACAAUCCUUGUGAUUUAUUUUGAUAUAUUGACCAUCAUUUGUAUUGUAAGUGCUGUACCUUGAUGAAGGUAUCUUUUCUUUUAUGUACACUGAGAGCAUAUGCACCAAGACAAAUUCCUUGUGUGUCCAAUCACACUUGGCCAAUAAAAAAAAUUCUAUUCUAUUCUAUUCUAUUUUAUGACUUGCAUUUGGUUUUUCUUGCUUAAGUGUAAGACUUUACUUUUCUAACCACUGUUGGAUAGGGCCCAGUGUUCAAGUUUGUCAAAGUGUUGGCUAUUCCCCACAGCUUGGUGUCAUCUGCAUAUUUGAUGAGUUCCCAUUAUGUUUCCCUCAACUAAGUGUUCUGGGCCUAAGAGAGAACUUUGAGGUGCCUCCUGCAUCAUUCCCUCAAAUGUAAAUGUAAUUCUAUUGAGGAUUACACGCUGAGGGCGGUUGGUCAGCUGGUUAUGAAUCCAUCUGGUGAUGAUGCUAUCUAACCCACAUUUUUUUGCAUCUUACCCAAAAUUUGGCUGUGGUCUACUUUGUCAAAGGCCUCGUAGAAAUCUACGUAAGUUGUGUCUGCAGUAUUUCCCUGAUUCCACUUUGUCAAAGAAUGCGAUAAGAUUCUUUCUUUUGUACAUAAGUGCACAAAAGUGCCUCCCGUUCCUGUCCUAUUGUUUCCUUCCAAUAUAUGUGCUUGUAUAUAAUGUUGUGACAAAAUAAAUAAAUAAAUAAA